CGACAGUCGUAGUGAACCUCGGAAGGAUCAUUA
rnacentral:rRNA from 1 species